ensembl:lncRNA
AUGAGCUUCUCCCAGGCAGAUGAGCCACAAGAUGCUUGGGGUGAACACUCACCUGACAUUCAAGAGAAUGCAUUUUCUGUGCUGAGACCUUCAAGUUCCAAGCAAGAAAGAACACAGCCUGUUCCUGUGAGCUUGUCCAAUGAAAAUGAGCAAGAGGAUGCUUGGGGUGAACACCCAUCUAACUUUCAAGAGAACACAAUCUCUGAACAGAGACCCUCAAGUACCUACCAGGCAAGAACAAAUAGUGCUUCUGGUGUGAGACGAUGGAGCUGCAUCACUAAUCAAUGUACACCUGUUGAGAGGACAAUUCUGGAGGCACUUAACGAACUGGACCUGAAGAUCAAUCAUCUGUCUUCAGUGGUCCAGUCUCUUGCAGCUAACAGUCGUUCCAGUGCUCCAGUGCUGCUGGUGGACAGCGAGGAUGAUGUCUUUCCUCUCACAACCAUGGAGGAACUAGACAAACUGGAAAGACAAUUAUCAGAAAAAGAAAUGAUGCAAAAGAUGGUAAAAAUCAUUGACAUUUGAAGGUUUAACAGUUGUAGUGAAGUAAAUAAUGUCUAUUAUAUACCCGGUUUCACAGACGAGGUUUAAGGCUAGUCCCAGACUAAAACGCAUGUGUGAGCUGUCUUAACUGAAAAUAACUUGAAAUGACAUUCCUUACAAUAUGUCAGUGCCAUUGUUUCAUCUCAAGAUGCACACAUGCAGCAUUUUUAUAAAAGCAAAACUAGGACCUAUAGUCCUGACUUAAACUAAUCCCUGUUCUGAGCUCAGUAGUAACUGACUAUAUGUAAUCUGGAUUGCGUAAACAGAUUCUAGUAAAUAAAGAACUUGUAAUUAGAUUAAAUAAAAUUUUAUAAAACUCAUAAUCAGACUACAGUUACUUUUUUAUGGAUUACAUGAUUAAAUAUUAUUUACAAAAUAGCAAUAGAUUAUUCCGAAUUUAAUUUCCUAAUUCCUCUUUUUAAUCUUUUAAAUUUUCCUUUCUAAAAUAGCAGGCUGCUUAUAUACAUUCAGAAAGUCUUCAGGUUUUCUGGACAUUCACACAGAGAUCCGUCAUUAGUCAGGUGGCAGCGUUUAACCACUGGAUUUACAAAAAUAAUUUCAUGUUUAAGAACAUAGGAUCAGCAUCAACACAUUGAUUUUUAUUUGAAUCAUUCCUCUGUAGGUUGUUUAACCAUGUAUUUCUAUGUCUUUGGAUGACUUUAGUCUUUUAAACACAUUAAAAUGCACAAAUUUACAAACUUUUUUUGUCAUCUGAUCCUCUUUCACCUAAUAUAUUUACUUAAAAGUACUCAUGAGAUUUUAAAAUAUAUUUUUUUAAUAAUUAAAAGAAGGACCCUUCUGCCUGCAUUUGAGUCUUCGCCUCUUUCUCACCGUGAGACUUAUAAUGUUUUCAUAGUUAAAAUACAUUGUUGUAACGUUGAACGAAAUGUUCUCAUAACAACGUUGUUGUAACAUCUUUAUGAUGUUAUUUUUACUUGACUGAUGUUCUCAUAAUGUUGAGUGAAAACGUUCUCAUAACAACAUUCUUGUAACGUCUUUAUAAUGUUAUUUUUACUUGACUGAUGUUCUCAUAACAACGUUCUUGUAACGUGUUUAUGGUGUUAUUUUUACUUGACUGAUGUUCUCAUAAUGUUGAACAAAAACAUUCUUAAAACACCAUUCUUGGAAUGCCUUCAUUUUAGAAGUGAUGGGAACAGAAAUUACGAAUCUGACCAGUCCUAGACAGCAUGUAGUAAUCGGCCCGAGCUCGGCUGGCCCUCAGCAUCGGCGAGUGUUAUCCGGGCUGAGUAUGGCCCACAGCUCGCUCUCGCGCAUUUGUUUGUGAUGCGCCCAUAAAGCACUGGACCGAUUCCUGUUCACCGUAACUGGCCCAAGUCUGGCUGUAGAGUCCGGGCCACUUCUGGCAAUGACUCGGCUCGGUUCAGUAGAUGGUUACAUUAAUAUAGAAAUAAUUAACAUAAAACUGUUUUAAACUUGACUUAAGAUCUUAACAGUAUCUUAUAAUGUUAAUUACAUGUCUACUGUCGUGAAUUUGUCAAAAACAAAUUAUCUGCGAUAAAAUAUAAAAUAAAAAAUAAAUAAAAAAGUGCAGCUCAUUAUGUGGGUCUUUGUCUUCUCAGGAGUGAAUCACACUAAUAUUCAUGAUAGUUGACGCCUACUCGCAUAUGCCCUUUACAAACAAAAAGUGUCUUAAAAAAUUUUAAUCAAUAUGUUGUUUUCUGUGAGUGAGUAAACAAGAUGAUUUUCACAUCAUUUUGAAACAAAAAUUCUAGGCUACAAGCUCUUGUGAACAAAUGGUCUUGUGAACAAAUGUUUUGUAUGUGUUUUAUGACCUUAUUUCAGUGACUUUAAAAUUGUACUUUUUUACUAACCAUGCAUAAAUGUUGUUUUCUCAAAAACACAAUCAUGUACAUACAUGCUAUUUACAUAUUAUUGUAGCCCAGUUUGUACUGAUUACAGUGUUAUUAGACUUUAGCCAUGUAUCUAUUUAUAAGCAACUGAAAAAAGCACAAAAGUCAGGGGAUGUCAAAACUUCUCCAGGCCCUCAAAAUUCCCUAGACCUCAGAGGUUUAAGUAUAAUGGCGUUAAUAACGGAGUUUAUUUUUCAGUAACGGAGUAAUCUAAUUAAUUACUAUUCCCAUCGUUGCAACCGUUAUCUUUGCUGAGAAUGUAAAGUGUCCCGUUACUACAAUUUGGUUGAAUAAAGCGCAAGGUGUCAUGCUUUGGCUACACAUCAGCUGCCUGGAGAGAGCAGGGGUGGGGAUGAUGACACUGUUGCAAAUGCGAUGAUGAUUGGCUGGGUGGGUGGUGCCCUGCUCACACUGUCUCAC